UGUUAAACUUGUAAAUAGUUAAAUAUAAAAUACUUGCGUUCGCUGAUUAUUUAAUUGGAUAUGAAUUGAACAUAUUUGGCAACUUUAGAAGAUGAGCACGUGAUCGGUGGGGGAGGGGAGCAACGGUUAGCGUCUGAUACCAGAGAAAAGUCUCUGUGAAUAAAACGGAUAUUAUCUCAAAUAUAAUCUCGAUUACAGAUUGCAGAUAACGAGGAUAUGAAGAACAUGAAGAUGGACUGGUUUCACAUGCAGAUGUUGCAGCAUCUGCAUCUGAGGUUGAGAAGACACUCAAUCUACCUGCCAAUCCUCAUCUGAUUUUGCUAGUGUCCAGUCAACAUUUUUGACUGCAGUUGCAAGUGUUUGCUGUGCACUACAUCUUCAACCUGCAGUAUCAAGAGGCGGCUUGUUGCACGUUAGAGUUUUUUCAAAGAUGAUUCUAUGGAAUAAACCCAGAAAGAGGCUCAAAGACCUGCCGAGGCAAGGUAGUCUCCAAGAAGACGGGAAAGGUGGUGAAUAAGAAGUCCACUACAGUCAAUCCAAAGGUUGCCACUCUACAAAAAAAUCGAAUGGACUUCAAAUGGGACUUC